AUCUCAUUGGCCAGCAACCCAGUCCGUUUCCUGAAGGGGCGGGGAGAGCAUGGUCGCGUUACCGGGGCAACGGCCGCGCCGGGCAUGGCUGCGGGGCGGCACCCGCGAGCCGGGAACCCCCAGGGCGGUCGCAGGUGCUGCCAGCAGCCGGCGAUGCCGUGGGUCAGGCUGCUCCGUGGGCAGAGGGAGGAGCUUUUGUGCUCCCGGGUCGAUCUCCCGGCUGCUGGUGCCUCAGCUGCAGCUCCCGAGUGACGCUCCUGCGGUUCCGCUGCUGCGCGGACAGAGUCGUGGGAAAGGCCGGUGCAGCUGCCGCGGCUUGUGCUGAAAAUGCUGGGAGAGACAAAGCCCGUCGUGGUGAAGAGAGACCUUUACACAGACCCCGCGUUUCCCGCCAGCGACACCUCUCUGUUCUUUGACUGUUGCACCCCACUUGCCCAGUUCAGAGGCCAGAUAUCUUGGCUGAGACCGAAGUGGUUACAGAUGAGAGAAGAACCAUUUUAAAGACUGACUUUCAGAUCUGUUUAAUUGUUUAGGACCUUGCGUUUAAAAUCACCUCUUUUGCUACCAAGUGAUUUAUUUUUAUUUGCCUGUGCUAAUUUUGGAGGUUUUUUGUAACUCGGGACGUGCAGUGCCAUGUGAGUGGCAUCAGUUCUCUCUGUCACAGCUGAUCAAAUGUCUGGCAAGGAGCUGGUGAAUUAUGUUUCUUGCACUUAUUGGUGCCUCUGCUAAGGUCGCAUCUGGUGGUGACAUUUAUGUACUAAAAUCCAUGUGGGAACUGGAUUUACCUCACAUAAAGUACCUGCAAAAAUAGCCAUAAGGCAGUAAUUGGUUACUGCUUGCUUAGGCUGGUUCUGAAAUGUCCAGAAGGUAAAAAUUCCCUGAUUUUGGGAGAGGUCUCUGGAGCUCUCCUAUUCCCUGGCACACAGACCUUCAACGAUCGUGCAGGAUUUGGCUGUAGCUCUCCUUGGAGUUGGUUGUGGUUGCCAGCAGAGGGCAGAAUGAGACUUUAAAUAUGAAGAGAUUUAUUCAGCUGUAGAUCUGUGGAGCAGAAAUAGUGAAGCAGCAAUGGCACGUUAAAGCUUCUCUGUAAGUUUGAAAGGUGCUUUUCUUGUUUGUUUCUGUAGAGUCUUACUGUUCUAUUUUGCCUGAUCAUUCUAGUAUAGUCUUGAUUUCUUCUGCUCUGCUGCAUCAGGUAGGGCAGGCUCUUGAUUUGCUGAAGUUGUUGAAGGACGUGCUGCUCUGUUUGCGCAGUGUGGAAUGAUGACACAACAAGAGGAAACACUGAGUGAUAAAUCUGUAUUGUGCCUGUUUUAACAAAUGUUGGCAUAUUCAUUUAUUUUCUACUUUUCUUGAAAGGCUGUUCCUUUCCCUUCAAAUAGGAAAUUAUUUGAUUAUUAUAAUGAUGCUUCAAAGCAGAAAAAGGAAAGGUUUGUGAAAGCACCUGGGUCCAAGAGUUGUGAUAAAACAGGAACAGAUAGGGAGGGAGUAAAGAAAAAAGGUGUCAGGAUUUCUAAAUGGACUAUAAGAGGCCUCAUUAUGUAAUAAUUAAUGCAUGUGUAAAAGUCUGUACUGCAAUAUAUAAUUCUUCAAGGGACUGUGAAAGGAAUAGGAGUUAAAACUGCAUAUACCUUGGUACCUUCUCCAAAGGAUGUAAGAAAAGACCUUCUGUGAACACAGAGGAAUUUUUUUAAUUUGGACUUUAAUUUGGACUUUGGAACAGUUGUGCCAUUUGAAGAGUGUGAUACCUGACCGAGCGAAUAUGCAGGAAACUUUUGCUUGAUACAGAUUACUUCUCUAAAAUCCUAAAUCCUCUGAGUGUGAAAAUAUGGAACAUAUUAUUAUGUAUGUGCCUAAGAUGUGAUGAUAUGAGCUUUUGCAAGGACACCUAUUUUAAUUUUAAAAAGCUCAACUGUAUGAGGUCAGACCUCCUAAAUCAAAGCACGCUACGUUAAUUUGCUACACUGAGCUACCUAUAUUUGAAUGCAAUUAAGACAGUGAUACGUGUUUUUCAAAUAUCUGCAAUUACUGACUAGUCAAAGCCCCCCUGCCCUGCAGUGAGUUGCAGACUGGCGUGGCACAGCACAGAGUUGAUAUGGAUGUGGCUGCAGUAUUGCACCCAAAACAUAAUCCAGACCGAUUUCCUUCGCUCCUUCGGGGAGCUGGAACGUGAAUGCCCGAAGCAGGUUGGUAAAGAAGAUGAACAGUUCGACCCGCGCCAUCUGCUCCCCCAGACACACGCGGUGGCCUGCAGAAGAAAAGGGAGACGUUGUAUAAAGCCAAGUUCUGAAAAGUAACUUCAAACAAAAUUCUACUGAGUUCCAUCAAUUCUGUUACUGUAAGGUAAUUAUUUCUCAUUUCCUCCUGCAAGGACAGAAGGUGCCUUUGGAGGUAGGGGAAGCAUUUCUUUAACUGAGAAUCCGUAUACUUCUAAUUAUGUCUACUGUUGGGGUUGGUUGGUUGUGGGGUUUUUUCCCCCACUUUCCCUGGAGCGCAUAUGAGAUUCUUUCUUUUCAUUUUUGUUCUUGUUCUGUGUGUCACGUUCUGGAGAUGUCACAGUAUCACAGUAUGUUUGGGAUUGGAAGGGACCUCAAAAGAUCAUCUAGUCCAAUCCCCUGCUGGAGCAGGAACGCCUGGGUGAGGUCACACAGGAACACGUCCAGGCGCGUAAAUGUAAAUGCUCAGAUCAUAUAAACAGAAAACAACCAGAGCAAGUUAAAAAAUGUUCAAUGCCUGGGUUGAAGCAGUAGCCUAAAUUAGUUGUUGAUUCAUGUAAAUUAGUGGACGCUUGGUGAAGAAAGAAGACGCUAAGUACCUGUUUUGCAAAUAUGAUUUGGGAAUUUCCAGACAAUUUGGGCAAACGGUUUUAAAAUCUGCAUUUACUGGUUUUGACCUGACUGCUUUGUAUGUUACUUAGUAUACUAUUUUCUUUUUAUCUACAACAAAUGUACACUAUCGGUCAUAAAAAAACCCCACACUCA